GCUGUGGUAGUGUAACGGUCAGCAUAUCUGCCUAGUAAGCAAGAAGACCCGGGUUAGAGUCCCGGCCGCAGCA